rnacentral:rRNA from 1 species
GAUGAACGCUAGCGGCAGGCCUAAUACAUGCAAGUCGGACGGGAUCCGGGAGUAGCUUGCUACUUCCGGUGAGAGUGGCGCACGGGUGCGUAACGCGUGAGCAACCUGCCCAUAUCAGGGGGAUAGCCCGGAGAAAUCCGGAUUAACACCGCAUGACACGCCGGGACGGCAUCGUUCCGGCGUCAAAUAUUCAUAGGAUAUGGAUGGGCUCGCGUGACAUUAGCUAGUUGGUGGGGUAACGGCCCACCAAGGCGACGAUGUCUAGGGGCUCUGAGAGGAGAAUCCCCCACACUGGUACUGAGACACGGACCAGACUCCUACGGGAGGCAGCAGUAAGGAAUAUUGGUCAAUGGGGGCAACCCUGAACCAGCCAUGCCGCGUGCAGGACGACUGCCCUAUGGGUUGUAAACCGCUUUUGCCGGGGAAUAAACCCCACUACGUGUAGUGGGCUGAACGUACCCGGAGAAUAAGGAUCGGCUAACUCCGUGCCAGCAGCCGCCGUAA